rnacentral:lncRNA from 1 species
AGAAGACAAAGGCCACCUGGGACUCUUCAGAGAAUGCCCUUUCAGCUGAUUCAUACUUAUGGAAUGCCCUAGCAAAGGCUGAGAAAAAAAAAAAAAAAAAAAGACUUCAUGCAUUUGAACAGACCAUUUGCUAAUGGUACUACCCAGUGGGCCAGUGCCAGACAGCAGACCCAUCCCCCUGCCUGCCAACGCUGGGAAUGCAUCUCCCCUCACAGAAAAGUGAAUUGUUACAGAGAGGGAAGUGACGUGAUCAGUGAGGCUCUUCAAAGCAGGCUGGAGGAGAGCACAGUCACCAGUACCCCCGUGUAGAUGACAGCAAGUGACGCCAUGUGGCCCACUGGGCCCACUGUCCACAGAGGGACUUAUGGUGCCGGGGGAUUAGAAAGGGUUAAAAACUGUGCACAUUUGUGAGGAGUGCAACUCUCAGGAAAGGCCCUGUAUUUAGUGGGCACCUCAUCAUCAUUGCUUGAGUUGCCUGCUGUAUAUCAAGACUAAGUUAGAGUUUAUUGAAGCAGGGAAAUGAGCGCUCAGCAUGGUUACCUAAGGACCAGAGUCACUUGUGGCCUAUCCGUGACACCCUCUCUAGAACGCUAAGAUGCACAGCUCUAGGCAGCAGGAGCCAGAACAAAGGCUCCUCCACCACUUCACCAGUGGACUCGAGCGAUGUCCUCACUUCUCUGACUAUCAGAUUGGCUGCUCGUGGGAAUGCUACCUCACCAGGUUAUAGGGUUUCACAUGUCUGGUACAGAAAGAACCAGCAAUGAAUAUCAGAGCGUUUUGGUAAUCUUUCGCUUAAUAACUAAUGGUACACAUAUUAGACCACUUCAGCAGGACAAAGAAUUCAGAAAUGAUUGUCUCUUGAGGAGGAGGGGGAGGAGAAGAAGAAGGCAUUAUAACAUGUUGGGAGGUGUCUUACACCUCCAUCUGUCCAAUAUUUGGGCCCUGGAAUGGCUUCCCUCUAACAGCUUUGAACACAUUCAGUGCUAUCUCUGGUCUAUUCUGAACAUCUUAAGCUGAAUUAGCAUAUAUCCAUAUCAAUUCUGCUAACAGCCAAGCUUUUCUUGCUGCCAGAGCAUACAUAUGGAAAUAAGCUUGCAUAGUUUCUUUGUGGUCUCUUUGUGGAUUCCAGUGGUGUUAAUAACAGGUCAUAUUCUCUCGAUUUUCUUAUUUUUAAAUAACUAGGUUUUAAAUUAUAGUGCAAGCGUGUUGUCUUAAACUAUCAACUGUGUAGGAUUUUAGGUUAAUGAAGAAACAAUUGAUUCUUUGCUGCCCACCUCCUGCUCCCAUUUAUGCUCUACAUAGUAACAACAUUUUACACAUCCUUCCAGAAACUUCCUGUCCUUUCUUUCAACAUAUAUUCCCAUGAAGUGUCUUCAUAUACACAAAUAUAACCCCAUCUUUCUUUCCCAUCUUCCCUCAUGUAUAUUUUCUCCAGACUCCAGAUCUUAGAUCUCUUCAUACUUGUACCUAUAAACCUGCCUUGGUUUUUUUGUUUCGUUUUGGAUUUCUUUUGAGUAACUAUCUGGUAUCCUUAAAAUAAGGUAUUUUUAUUUUAUGUGCAUUGGUGUUUCGUCUGCAUGUAUGUCUUUGUGAAGGUGUCAGGUUCCCUGGAACUGGAGUUACAGACAAGUGUGAGUUGCUAUGUGGUUGCUGGGAAUUGAACCCAGGUCCUCUGAAACAGCAGCCAGUGCUCUUAACCACUGAGCCAUCUCGAGCCCCAGCUAUCUGGUGUUCUUUAACCAGCUUUCCUAGAUGUAUAUGCGAGAUGUUUCUAUCUUUCCCUUGUACAAGCACUUUUAUAAAACACUUCCUCUGAAUAUAAGUCUUGGUCAUUUGAGGGGCUUUAUCUGUGAAGUAAGUUCUUACUUUUAAACUCUGAAUAAACAUUGUAUGUUUGUUCAACACUAGCAUAUCACUGAUACUGUUGGACCCCCAAAGAGAGUCCUGCCUUACUGAACAGUAGAGAGGCAAUCAAUACCUCAGGAUGCAUCAUUAAUUUUUUAUUGAUUAUUGGGGAAUCUCACAUAAUACACCUGUAUCUUGCUCACCUCCCAAUGUUCCCAUGUCUGCCCCCACCUCUCAUCACCCCUCCCAUGCACACAUGCAAAAAGAAAGAAACAAGUCCAUUUUGUGUGGUCCAUACAAUCACUAGGACAUGGUCAACUUCCUAGUAGCCAGCCCUGCAAGGGAAGAUGAGUCUUUCUCUGUCUGCAUCCACACCAGAAACAGUCAACCAAGGAAAAUAUGGUGGCUGUAGACAGGUGGGCCCAGCUCUCUCCGCAGCCCACACAUGUCAACAUGGCUCCAGGCAGGAACCCAGACCAUGGACAUCCACAUGGGCUUUGAUGGUAACACAGGCUGCAGACAUCAGCACUGCCCCUGGUUGACCCACUCAGGGCCUGCAGCAGCUACAGGAACCAUGGGCCUCAGCACAGCCUCAGGUGGCUAUUCAUGCCGUUUACAUCAGCAUGGCCUUCUGAGGCAGCAAAGUCUGAGGGCAUCACCAAGGCAUCAGGAAGCAGUGCAAACUACAUAAGUCAAUGUGGAUCUCAGGCUUCAUUAAGGCCCAGAGCCGCAGCAUGGACCACAGACACCAACAUGUCCUUUGGGGGCAUUGCCGACAUGGUGGUCCUUCCAGGAGGUCCAAUCCAGAAAGAGAACCUUUCAUUGGGCCUCCAUCGUUGUCCAAAGCCAAUGUGAUCUAGUGACCAGGCGGCAGGUUCGGAGGCUGUGUCUGACUCCACAUAAGCUCCAGGCUAUAGUACACCAUUCCACUGACCCUACUGGGCAAUGACAUGUCCACCUCAGCCCUCUCUCUCACCUGUCACAGACAUCAUGUCACCAGUUCCCUCUCUCUCCUUAACACACAGCACUGCUCUGUUUUCCUAUCUUUUCCACCUCUCCUUCACAUAUCUGUUCAUCGUAGUGGACCUGCAGGGAGGUAAGGAUGGGGUACUGGGUGUCUUCUGUCACCUGGGCUGAAAUGCCAGGGCAGGGUGCUGGGUGUCUUCCAUGUCAUUACAUUUUUAGGGUAGAAAUUGGUGAUAACAUGACAGCAUGCUUUCAAGGGAUAUGUGGCCUCCCAUAGUUGUUUUGAUAAAUGCUGUCUAUUGGUUUUAGUGCUUGUAUCCUAGAACAGCAACCAGUUAGGAAUUCAUGGUAAAGCCUGAGGUUCCCUGAGAAACUACAGUGGGUUAGUACAGUCACAAGCUCUGGGGGUGCUGCAGUAACUAUAAUCAAUGAGUUAGUAUAAUCAGAGAUCCAGAGGGCUAUAGUGAUUACAAGCCAAUGAUUACAGUUAGUAUAACCAGAGUUCUAGUGAGCAGUAUCAUGACUGGGAUCACAGGUUGAUAGACUCCCAAGCUCUGGGUUGGGGGUGUUAUCAUGUAUUUAAUAGGACUGCUCAACUGAUUAGGAAAGUCUUAUUCUUCUUAUAUUUGUGCUUGUUUGCUUUGGUUCUGGUCUGGUUUUUCCAGACAGGAUUUCUCUAUGUAGCCAUGGCUGUCCUGAAACUCUAUAGACCAGGCUAGUCUCUAACUCACAGAGAUCCACCUUCUUCUGUCUUCUGAGUGCUGGGAUUAAAGGUAUGCAUCACCAUGUCCUGUGUCCUUUUUAAUUUUUAAAUUAUUUAUUUAGUGAUACCUGGGGGCAGGGGUGCAUACAUGCCACAAUGUCCAUGUGGAGGUCACAGGACAGCUUGAAGGAGUCAGUUCUUUCCUUCCUCCAUGGAAUCCUAGGAUUGACCUAGGUUUGUGAGGUGUAGCAGCAAGCACCUUUAUCCACUGAGCCAUCUUGCCAGCCCAUAAAACCCUCUUUUGAUGGUCAAGGAAAACCUUAUGAGCUUCAACGUUAGAAAUUUCCUCUGGCUACAUCUCCAAAAAGCCUUGGCAUUUUUGACAGAAUAAUGUCUCUGCAGCCAGGAGGUGUUAACCCCAGCAUCUGAAGGAAAGCGGUUCCAACUUCAACAGAGCAGCACUGGCCUUUAUCCUGCAAGCCAGGAGCUUCAGAGAAGAAACUGGACACUUCUGUUAUGAUUGUUAUUCACUCAACAAAUAUUUACAGAUCACCUGAUGGACACGAAGAAGAAUGGGAACCAAAGUGCAAAGCCUGCUGUUAUCUCUACCACCUCAUCCACCGAGUGCCCUCAGAUCAGUCCUUGCUCUUGCUUGACUUUACUCUCCCUGUCUUUAAAACCAGCUCCAAAUCACAGUAGCCCUGGAGAGCCUCCCAGCAAGGCCUCUCUUUGGUGCAUGAUGAGCAUGGAUACGCCAUCUCCCUCGGUGUGUUCUUAACGGUGAUCUCAGCUCCUAACUCACAUUAGGGUUGGAGGAGCACAAAACCCUUCUCAGGUUACUGGCAUGUUGUGGGGUUACUCUGCCAGUCUCCUUGAUGAGUGAUGGUGGUACUCACCUUUAAUCCCAGCACUCAGGAGACAAAGCAGGCCCAUCUCUGAGUUCAAGGUCAAGCUGGUCUACAGAACAAGUUCCAGGACCACCAGGGCUACACAGAGAAACCCUGUAUUGAAAAACAGAUGACAACAAUAAAAAAACAAAAAACAAAACAAAACAAACAAACAAAAAAAAACCACAAACUUAUUGGCUUAAUACAUCAGAAACGUCUUGUAGCAGUGAGUUUGUGCUACACCGCUUUGGCUCUUGAUGGAUUGUGUGUACACACCUGCCUAGGAAACAUCAAGAUUUGAGAAUAGAAAACGCACACACACAUACACUCCAGUUAAUUUUAAAAUGUCUAGGCUACCUCAAAGGCUGGGCACUCCUAGACCUACUUCUGCUACCCCAGGCCCAGUCAGGGAAGUGGCGAGUAGCCACCCACCUGAAUGGCUCAGUGGCUUUCUCUCUUGUAGCUCCUUCAUCCAUCUGUAUCUCUUCCUCGAGUCAUGGUGGUACUUCCUCUUCUCCACUUCGUCCUAGCCUGAGCAACUCUAAGGGUCCCUCCCCAUCUCUCUUUACCCAACCAUUGGCUGCUGGCAUUUUAUUGAUCAAUCAAAAAACCAUUUGGGGACAAGGACCUUUAGCGUUUGUACACGCAGAUUCCUGACUGAAUCAAAGCAUUAGAACCAAUCUCUAACAGUACCCUCUUUCACAAAUGUGAAGUUUGACUUAUGGGAUCUAGAUGUAGCUGAGGCCAUGCUGUCCCUAGGAGGCCUAGGGAAGGACCCUUCUUGCUAUCCCUAACUUCCAGUGCUUGCCAGCCAGCCCUUUAUGUUUCCCAGCUUGUAGCUUCAUCACUGCAAAUUCUGCCUCCAUCAUCACAUUGCCUUCUCCUCGUGGUUCUCCAAUGUCUCAUAAAAGAAAGGAACCAGGCAUGAUGGUGCUUACCAAUGAUCCCAGCACUCCACGGAGGAGGGAUGAUUAGCCUAGGCUCCACAGGGAACAAGUUCCCAUCUCAAAUUAAAAGGAGAAA